GACGAACGCUGGCGGCAUGCCUAAUACAUGCAAGUAGAACGCAGUUGCGAACGGGUGAGUAAAGCGUAGGGAACUGCCUCAUAGCGGGGGAUAACUAUUGGAAACGAUAGCUAAAACCGCAUACAGUGGGAGGGACCUGCGUUGUUUUAUCUAGUUGGGGAGGUAAAGGCUCACAAAGGCGACGAUACAUAGCCGACCUGAGAGGGUGAUCUGCCACAAUGGGACUGAGACACGGCCCAGACUCCUACGGGAGGCAGCAGUAGGGAAUCUUGGGCAAUGGACGGAAGUCUGACCGAGCAAUGCCGCGUGAGUGAUGAAGGCCUUCGGGUUGUAAAGCACUUUUGGCAGGAAAGCGGUACCUGCAGAAUAAGCACCGGCUAACUACGUGCCAGCAGCCGCGGUAAUUC
rnacentral:rRNA from 1 species